GCCUGUGUAGCUCAGUAGGUAGAGCACUUGCAUGGUAAGCAAGGGGUCGCUGGUUCAAAUCCGGUCAUAGGCUCCA
rnacentral:tRNA from 1 species